AUUGAACGCUGGCGGCAGGCUUAACACAUGCAAGUCGAGCGGGGAAAGGUAGCUUGCUACUUAACCUAGCGGCGGACGGGUGAGUAAUGCUUAGGAAUCUGCCUAUUAGUGGGGGACAACAUCUCGAAAGGGAUGCUAAUACCGCAUACGUCCUACGGGAGAAAGCAGGGGACCUUCGGGCCUCGCGCUAAUAGAUGAGCCUAAGUCGGAUUAGCUAGUUGGUGGGGUAAAGGCCUACCAAGGCGACGAUCUGUAGCGGGUCUGAGAGGAUGAUCCGCCACACUGGGACUGAGACACGGCCCAGACUCCUACGGGAGGCAGCAGUGGGGAAUAUUGGACAAUGGGGGGAACCCUGAUCCAGCCAUGCCGCGUGUGUGAAGAAGGCCUUUUGGUUGUAAAGCACUUUAAGCGAGGAGGAGGCUACCGAGAUUAAUACUCUUGGAUAGUGGACGUUACUCGCAGAAUAAGCACCGGCUAACUCUGUGCCAGCCGCCGCCGUAA
rnacentral:rRNA from 1 species